CGGGAAGAGCUCAAAUUUAAAAUCUGGCAGCCUUGUGUUGUCCGAGUUGUAGUCUAGAGAAGCAUCAUCCGUGCUGGACCAUGUACAAGUCUCUUGGAACAGAGCGUCAUAGAGGGUGAGAGCCCCGU
rnacentral:rRNA from 1 species